rnacentral:rRNA from 1 species
GAUGAACGCUGGCGGCGUGCCUAAUACAUGCAAGUCGAGCGAACAGACGAGGAGCUUGCUCCUCUGACGUUAGCGGCGGACGGGUGAGUAACACGUGGAUAACCUACCUAUAAGACUGGGAUAACUUCGGGAAACCGGAGCUAAUACCGGAUAAUAUAUUGAACCGCAUGGUUCAAUAGUGAAAGACGGUUUUGCUGUCACUUAUAGAUGGAUCCGCGCCGCAUUAGCUAGUUGGUAAGGUAACGGCUUACCAAGGCAACGAUGCGUAGCCGACCUGAGAGGGUGAUCGGCCACACUGGAACUGAGACACGGUCCAGACUCCUACGGGAGGCAGCAGUAGGGAAUCUUCCGCAAGGGGCGAAAGCCUGACGGAGCAACGCCGCGUGAGUGAUGAAGGUCUUCGGAUCGUAAAACGCUGUUAUUAGGGAAGAACAAAUGUGUAAGUAACUAUGCACGUCUUGACGGUACCUAAGCAGAAAGCCACGGCUAACUACGG